rnacentral:rRNA from 1 species
GACGAACGCUGGCGGCGUGCUUAACACAUGCAAGUGGAGCGACGAACCAGGGCUUGCCCUGGGGCAGAGCCGCGAACGGGUGAGUAACACGUGGGUAACCUACCCCGAAGACUGGGACAACCCGAGGAAACUCGGGCUAAUACCGGAUGACUCCUACGAGCUCAAGCUCGAAGGGAAAAGGAAGCUUCGGCCUCCGCUUUGGGACGGCCCGUGGCCCAUUAGCUUGUUGGUGAGGUAACGGCUCACCAAGGCUGCGAUGGGUAGCUGGUCUGAGAGGACGAUCAGCCACACUGGGACUGAGACACGGCCCAGACUCCUACGGGAGGCAGCAGUGGGGAAUCUUGCGCAAUGCGCGAAAGCGUGACGCAGCAACGCCGCGUGGGGAAGAAGG